rnacentral:rRNA from 1 species
UGUGUAGGCGGAGCAGUAAGCGUCUUGUGAAAUCCCUCGGCUCAACCGAGGAAUGGCUGGGCGAACUGCUGUUCUUGAGGCAGGCAGGGGUGCAUGGAACUCUUGGUGGAGCGGUGGAAUGCGUAGAUAUCAAGAGGAACGCCGGUGGUGAAGACGGUGUACUGGGCCUGUCCUGACGCUGAGACACGAAAGCGUGGGUAGCGAACG